GGUUUUUAGGAAUAAUUAAAAAUCAGGCCUGCUCAAUGCUUAGUAAAUAGCCGCAGUAUUAUGACUGUGCUAAGGUAGCAUAAUCAUUAGUCUUUUAAUUUGAGACUGGUAUGAAGGGUUAGACUGAGUAAUUCUGUCUUAUAGUAAUAUUUUGAACUUUAUAGUUUAGUAAAAAGGCUAAAAUUUAUCUUGGGGACGAGAAGACCCUAUCAAGCUUUACAAAUGUAAGCUGUGUAUCUUUUACAGUCUAAGUUUGUUUUACUGGGGCAGUAAAUGAGUAAACUCUCAUUUUAAUAUUGUGAAAAAUUGAGCUUGAAAAAUCAGAAUAUUUUCUAAACAAAAAUAAGUUACUGUAGGGAUAACAGCGUAAUUCUUUUUGAGAGUUCUUAUCAUCAAAAGAGUUUGCGACCUCGAUGUUGGAUUAAAAUUCCUAAUUCGCGCAAUAGUGAAAUAAGGGAGUCUGUUCGACUCUUGAAAUUUUCCG
rnacentral:rRNA from 1 species